rnacentral:lncRNA from 1 species
AUCGUACUUAAUUUAAAAAGUUUAGGAUCCUCUAAUGUGUGCCAUUUGGACUAAGUCUUGGACAGCUGCCACAGCAUCCGACACAACAAAAUAUAGAAUAGGGGGGGAGUUGCAUGCCAUAUACAGCAUAUUUUGUGUGUCAUACACUGCACCCUAGUUGAUAGCUAUCUGCUUUUAUGAUCGAAUGAUGUGGUGGUUAGAGAUGUUUAUGCGAUAGAGUUG